ACAUCUGAGUGCUGGUUGCUUUUUAGAGGGACGGAGGACUUGGGUUGCUGGUUCUUCUCCACUGAAUGUAAUUAACUGAAAGUUUAAAGAAUGACAAAGCCAAAAUUCCAGCCUUGCCCAAGCUGCCAGGUCUGUCAGCAGGCCAACCGCAAAACCUGCAGUGCUUGUUUUGUUACACUGCCAAGCAAGCAGUUAUUAAAAACUACAAAAAUUAAUGAUGACUGGGGCCAGAGGGUCAUCAAAAACAAAAAUGCAUGUCGGAUGGUUGCCUCUGCCCAAACAGCUGUCCGCAAACUUUCUGCCUUGGGCUAUUUGCCCAUAUUAUUUAUCAGCAAGUGGCACAAGGGCAC